rfam:Schistosoma margrebowiei strain Zambia genome assembly, scaffold: SMRZ_scaffold0000663
GCACUGCUGAGGAGUCCCAUAAUAGGACGAAACGGCCGCCCAAUGC